UUUUGCAGCCCGAGACUAGGAGGGACGCAGCCUCCCUGCUGCUGCCCGGAGCCCUUCCCCGGCGGCCCCGGAUCAUCCGACGCGUCCUGGGAGAGAGAGAGAGAGAAAGUGGCAGAGGAGGAGGAGGCGGCGGGAGAGGAGGAGGAGAGGAGGGGGUGAGCGGAGGAGGGCAGCGAGCAGGGGUGGAAAUGGGAACCGGAGCGAGAAACGGGAUGGAGGGGGGUUGGAAACCAGAGACCCAAAGAGGUUUUCCCAACCCCUGGAAAAGUGAACAAGAAAUAUGCUCCUCCAAGAAGUAGUUGCAGUUGGAAGCAUACCACAGAAGAAACAGAACUCACCUAACCAAGAGACCUAACAAUGCAAAUGGAAAGAAAGAUUCUCUCUUUUAUAUUAUGCCAGAUGAAAGAGAUGGACAAGGCACACUUUAAAAGACCACAGUACAGAGGCAGGGACUAAAUAAAUAGAGUACCUAUUCAAGUUGUACAUGG